rnacentral:pre_miRNA from 1 species
AGCCUUCUGGAUUUGUGCCGAGAUUUCGCCAGACAACAGACCAGCAGUACUGAGACUCCCAAGAUAAGUGAAGCG